rnacentral:tmRNA from 1 species
GGGGACGUUCUUGGAUUCGACAGGGGUCCCCCGAGCUAAUUAAGCGUGUCGGAGGGUUGUCUCCGCAACAACACACACAGUUAAUAAUAACUGGCAAAUCAAACAAUAAUUUCGCAGUAGCUGCCUAAUAGCACUCUGCAUCGCCUAACUGCAUCUCCUAUGUGCAGUUAACGCGAUUCAACCUUAAGUAGGAUACGCUAGACACUGCCGUUUGAAGUCUGUCUAGAAGAGAUGAAUCAAACUAGUAUGAUGUUGGUUGUCUAUCUCCUACCAUCAUGCGAAAUUGAUUGAUAGACUACACACGUAGAAAGGUUAGUAUCAGGACCUCUGGACGCGGGUUCAAAUCCCGCCGUCUCCAUAC